rnacentral:rRNA from 1 species
ACGGGAGGCAGCAGUGAGGAAUAUUGGUCAAUGGGCGUAAGCCUGAACCAGCCAAGUAGCGUGAGGGAUGACUGCCCUACGGGUUGUAAACCUCUUUUGUUUGGGAAUAAAGUAGACUACGUGUAGUCUUUUGCAUGUACCUUUCGAAUAAGCAUCGGCUAAUUCCGUGCCAGCAGCCGCGGUAAUACGGAAGGUCCGGGCGUUAUCCGGAUUUAUUGGGUUUAAAGGGAGCGUAGGCGGGCCUUUAAGUCAGUGGUAAAAGCGUGUGGCUCAACCAUACCACGCCAUUGAAACUGGAGGCCUUGAGUGCACACAGGGAUGCUGGAAUUCGUCGUGUAGCGGUGAAAUGCUUAGAUAUGACGAAGAACUCCGAUCGCGAAGGCAGGUGUCCGGGGUGUAACUGACGCUGAGGCUCGAAAGUGCGGGUAUCAAACAGGAUUAGAUACCCUGGUA